AAAAACUUCUGAGUUUCUUUUUUCAGAUCAUUCAAGCCUAAAUUAAACUAGGGUUGUCUAUUUCAUUAAUGAAAUACUGACUAUUCUGUGGCAAGAGGUACAGUAGUGACUUUUUUAGGGAUUAUCAAAAAGCAGCCAGGAGAAACAUUUAAGUCAAAGGAAAUUUGAGAGUUUCUUGAUAAUACCCUUUUUUGAGGAACAUGGACUUAGUAGAAAAAAAGAGAUUGAUGAUUCUUUCACUAAUCAAACGAAACCCAUCUCCUACAUUUCCCGUGCCAUCUCUUCUGCCAAACAAAAUAAGGCCAUAUCACUUUCUUGUAAAACCAAUAUUUUAAUGUACAACAUUCUUUUUUAAAUCCUUACACAUUAUACAUGAAGAACACCAGCUUCGAAACAGCCCAAGGUUUCCCAGGUAACAAAGCUGACGCUUGCAUCUUUUACUAGUUCAGAAGAAAAAUAGGGACUUUGGGAAAGAGAAAUAGGCUAAUCAGCCAGCUUCCAUUAUGAAUUUCACCACCGAAGGUAGCAAUUUUAAAUCUAUCAGGGAGGCAUAGGCUCCACCAGACUCAGGGGAGUAGACAGAGGAUCACACAGGAUACCAAAUAGCACAACUGGUCAACAGUGGUUCCACUGCUGCUUUUUAUCUCUGUUUCAAGAAUGAGCCAGGAUCUCUGGUUGUGUAGUGUGUUGUUGAAUGUCCAAUGCACAAUAUUUAAAAUAUUCACACUACAGAAACGGGGAGCCUUUUGACUGUUGUCUCAUGUUUUAGGGUAUGAAAAAUAACUGGACAAGAAAUUCAAAGUGCAUUUAUAUUGAGUACACAUUAAGAGCCCAACUGCAGAGUUUAAAAACAAAAAUUUUCUUGGGUCUUUGUUGUCUUAAAAGGAUUGUGCCCAACAUGACUUGUAAACAUGUAAAAAUCACUUGUCUACACAUAUUAAAAUGAGUCUCAUGCUUCUGUUAAAUAUGUAACCACCUAUGCUCUCAGGAGAUGAGUAAAGUUAAAAAAGAAA